AUACGUAGGGGGCGAGCGUUAUCCGGAUUUAUUGGGCGUAAAGCGUGUGUAGGCGGACAUUUAAGUCAGGGGUGAAAUCCCGGGGCUCAACCUCGGAACUGCCUUUGAUACUGGGUGUCUAGAGUGUGGAAGAGGUAAGUGGAAUUCCUAGUGUAGCGGUGAAAUGCGUAGAUAUUAGGAGGAACACCAGUGGCGAAGGCGGCUUACUGGACUGUAACUGACGUUGAGGCUCGAAAGCGUGGGGAGC
rnacentral:rRNA from 1 species